rnacentral:rRNA from 1 species
UACAGGGGGUGCAAACGUUUGCUCGGAAUUAUUGGGCGUAAAGCGCGCGUAGGCGGCUACCUAAGUCGGAUGUGAAAGCCCCUGGCUUAACUGGGGAAGUGCACCCGAAACUGAGUAGCUAGAGUGCGAAAGAGGGUCGCGGAAUUCCCGGUGUAGAGGUGAAAUUCGUAGAUAUCGGGAGGAACACCGGUGGCGAAGGCGGCGACCUGGGUCGACACUGACGCUGAGGCGCGAAAGCGUGGGGAGCAAACAGG